rnacentral:rRNA from 1 species
GGAGGGUGCAAGCGUUGUUCGGAAUUACUGGGCGUAAAGCGCGUGUAGGCGGCCUCUUAUGUCAGGUGUGAAAGCCCUGGGCCCAACCCAGGAAGUGCGCCUGAAACUGAGAGGCUUGAGUACGAGAGAGGAGGACGGAAUUCCCAGUGUAGAGGUGAAAUUCGUAGAUAUUGGGAAGAACACCGGUGGCGAAAGCGGUUCUCUAGAUCGAUACUGACGCUAAGACGCGAAAGCGUGGGGAGCAAACAGGAUUAGAUACCCUGGUAGUCCACGCCGUAAACGAUGGAUACUAGUUGUUGCGAGCUUUUAAAACUCGCAGUGACGACGCUAACGCAUUAAGUAUCCCGCCUGGGAAGUACGGCCGCAAGGUUA